rnacentral:rRNA from 1 species
UACGAAGGGUGCAAACGUUGCUCGGAAUCAUUGGGCGUAAAGCGCACGUAGGCGGCCUCAUAAGUCGGAUGUGAAAUCCCUCGGCUCAACCGAGGAAGUGCAUCCGAAACUGCGAGGCUCGAGUAUGGAAGAGGGUCGCAGAAUUCCCGGUGUAGAGGUGAAAUUCGUAGAUAUCGGGAGGAAUACCAGUGGCGAAGGCGGCGACCUGGGCCAAUACUGACGCUGAGGUGCGAAAGCGCGGGGAGCAAACAGG